UUCGUCCUGGGCACUACAAUCACCAGAUUGAAACCCAACUAACAUGGCGGUAGUUUAAAUUUUUAGGGGAACUUACUAAGUAAAUGAUAACCACCAAGAAAACUUACGUAAAGUAAAAUUUUACAUACCGUCGUCGGCAGAUAUCUUAAUAUAAGAUAUCUUAUUACUUUUAAGCAAAAAGACAGAUCAAGGUGUAGACAACCUUUACGUUUCAGCGAGUUACAAUAUUAUUUUUUUUCGUAAAUUAAUUAUAUAAUUAAAUAUACGUCGGACUUAAUAGUAAUAGUUAUUAAGGAUAUAGUAUGAAUAAUUUUAAACUGUGCACAA
rnacentral:rRNA from 1 species